rnacentral:rRNA from 1 species
CCUACGGGAGGCUGCAGUGGGGAAUAUUGGGCAAUGGGCGCAAGCCUGACCCAGCAACGCCGCGUGAAGGAAGAAGGCUUUCGGGUUGUAAACUUCUUUUGACAGGGAAGAGUAGAAGACGGUACCUGUCGAAUAAGCCACGGCUAACUACGUGCCAGCAGCCGCGGUAAUACGUAGGUGGCAAGCGUUGUACGGAUUUACUGGGUGUAAAGGGCGUGUAGCCGGGUUGACAAGUCAGAUGUGAAAUCCUGCGGCUUAACCGCAGAACUGCAUUUGAAACUGUUGAUCUUGAGUACUGGAGAGGCAGGCGGAAUUCCUGGUGUAGCGGUGAAAUGCGUAGAUAUUAGGAGGAACCCCGAUUGCGAAGGCAGCUUACUAAACUGUGACUGACAUUGAUGCUCGAAAGUGUGGGUAUCAAACAGGAUUAGAUACCCGUGUAGUC